rnacentral:lncRNA from 1 species
GCACUAUUUGUAAGGCAACAUAGUUUAAUGAAAAGAAUUGUGGUAAACAUAAUUAGGUGAUUAACACAGAAGAGGCAAAUAGUAAACAAGUCAGAAGAAACAACCCCCUCCAAAAAAUAAAAAGUAACUGAUUUACUUGGUAUCCAAGAAGUUACGUUAUUGCUAGACCUAAUAGAAUGGAGAGAUGGAAUGAUGUAGGGAGAAAGGCUCUGAAAUCACAACUGGUUGGAAAAAAAAUUUUAAUUACAUAAUCUUAUUUGUCACAUCCAUCUGCCAGAUGUAGAGCUUAUUGCUGUUUGUGGAGAUGUGCAGACCAAUAAAAAGCCUAUUUAAUGCUCUCUUAAACUCCACCACGCCUGGCCAAAAGGGACUUUAAAAAGCUUUGUUGCAAUUUCUAAAACAUCAUAAGGAUAUAUUUCCAAAAAUUUUCACAUACUUCAUUUCUAUCUCUUUUUUCUCUGUCCUUGCCUUCCUCACAAACUCAGCCUAGUAUAGUGAUUAAAAGCGUGGGUUUUAGAAUCAGUAUGACAUUGCGUAGAGCUCAGGCUACAUUAUUGACUACCAACAUCACCUUGGGCAAAUUACUAGUCUUGAGGAUUAUCCUGCUUUGUCUCUAAACUUCACUUAAUAGGGUAUAGUACUGUUUGUGAAAAGUAAUUGAAAUUGUGUAAAUAAUUUAGCAGUACCUGGUUGUAUUUUAAGAAUAAUACAUAACUAAAAGGAGAUGCUUUGGGAUCUCAGAUUUGUGAUAUGAAGCUUUCAUUCAAUUAUGACGAAAAAUAAGAAACUGCAACAAAAAUUACUAUCUAGGAAAGGGGAGUAAACACCAGGACGUCACCAUAUCAACAUAUGGUACUAGGCAGGGAUGAGUCGUCCUUGUCUACUCCACUACCAAAUGUUGAAGUUCUUCAAGAAUCAGUCCUUUGGAGGUGAUGUCAUUGAAAAUGAUGAGUAGGAAACUCCAAGAGCGCAUUUCUCCACAAAACCAGUGAAUACAUUGGCACAAAUUGUCAGAAUCAAUUUUAUAUAAAUUCUGGAGCAUUUAAGGAAAUCUGUUUCUCUUUUGGAUCACUAGCUGCAAAUUAAGCUAACAGAACAGGAGCUCAGCUGGUCACACACAGCAACGAAUACAGACUUUAUAAAGUUCAGAAAAGUUACCAAACAGUGGUAACCAUAACAAGUACCAACAAUGAACUAUGGGGAGGGAGGAGAAUCUGAUUUCCAGAGUUACCACAUUAUAAUACUAUUCAAAAUGUCACAUUUUUAGCAAAGAUUACAUGACAAGGAAAAACCAGAAAAGUAUGGCCCAUACACAGGUAAAAAAAGAAAUUAAUAGAAACUACCCCUGAAGAAGCACAGACUUCGGAUGUACAAAACAAAGACUUUUCAUCAACUCUUUUAGAUAUGCUAGAAGAGCUAAAGGAAACCAUGGACAGAGAACAAAAAAAUUAGGAAAGCAAUGUCUCAUCCA